rnacentral:miRNA from 10 species
CCUUAUCACUGAUCUGGUCCGGU